GCAGGGCUGGCGCUGCCCUUCCGCGGCAAAACCACUGUCACCGGCCUUCUGGGUGCCUGCGUGAAGCUCUACAGGGAGCGCAGACAAAAUAGCCCAAGCGACCUCUUUACCUCCUCAGGGUCCGCCCCUGUGUCUCCCAGAAUUGCUGUCCAGCACUAAAGCAUCUGUACGAGCACUGGCUUUUAAAACCAGAGGUGCCAAAGGGAUUUGAGGAAUCCUGGGAUUUAAUAAUUAAAGCUGACACUAGGGUCCCUCCUGUCAGUCGCCUUUUGCCUGCAGCAGCACGUUUGAGGCAAAACAGUAGCAACAGCAGCAGUGGAUGCACCAAACAGACGGACAGAGCCCGCACGGACGGACGGAUGGACGCGUGCUCACGCCUCGCCAGGCUGUCAUGUCUCACCUCUUACGUAACAUUCAAGUGAGAUUUCUCACAGUGCUACCUUGGCAACAAACUAAAAAUAUCUAGGCAAGGUCUUGGUUUAAGCCUUAUUCUAAAAGCUUUA